UACGUAGGGUGCAAGCGUUUGUCCGGAAUUAUUGGGCGUAAAGAGCUCGUAGGCGGUUUGUUGCGUCGGCUGUGAAAACCUGAGGCUCAACCUCAGGCCUGCAGUCGAUACGAGCAGACUAGAGUGUUGCAGGGGAGACUGGAAUUCCUGGUGUAGCGGUGAAAUGCGCAGAUAUCAGGAGGAACACCGGUGGCGAAGGCGGGUCUCUGGGCAAUAACUGACGCUGAGGAGCGAAAGCGUGGGGAGCGAACAGG
rnacentral:rRNA from 1 species